UUCCUUGAGUCUGGAACACCAAUUAAGAGUGUCUGUUUGGGUUUUCAUGACAGCUGUUGAGGAGGCUUGCAGACAGUCAGGCCUUGCGCUGGACGUGAAGGGCUCCCACCAAGCAGGCCUGGACCCAGAUAGCGCAUGCUGACACAGGAGAGCUGCAGUUUAUGUAGGGAAGCAAUACUGAUGAGGUAACCUCCUGUGAGUGGCUUUCAAUGAAACGGCAGAAAGGAGGCUUGCCAAUCUGCUUUGAUGAGCACUGCUCCUCCAGCAGCAGGAAAACUUGAUCUAAGGUCCUAAAGGCUAUCAAGUCCACUCUUCCCCACUGGAAGUCCAUCUUUGCUUUAAAGACUUGCUGGCUCCAGAAAUUCUCCAUCAUGCUGAAGAAUUUGAUCCAGGGGAUUGUGCUGUCUGGAUAAAUGUUCACUGAGCUCUAUAACGGGAAUGGAUUGAGGUCACGGCACUAAAGCAUCUCCCUCAGUUCAAAGGUGGGCAUGAACGUGAGUCCCAAAGACAGAUUCAUCUUGGUCAGGAGUAAACCUCUUGAAAGUAGGGCAUGUAAUUGCAAUGUGGAGCAUAACGGACCAUAUCGUUAUUAAAUGGUAUUGUUAAAGGAAAUAGGAGAGAGGUCAAAUUUGAGGUAAGCCGCCCUGUUGUGACAUGUGAGACAAGCCCUUCACUAGUGCUGGUGAUAGAUAUAGGGUUAGCUUUGAUGAGCUUAUCCAUCACUAUAAAUAAUAUAGAUGUC